rnacentral:rRNA from 1 species
CCUACGGGAGGCAGCAGUGGGGAAUAUUGGACAAUGCACGCAAGCCUGAUCCAGCCAUGCCGCGUGUGUGAAGAAGGCCUUCGGGUUGUAAAGCACUUUCAGCGAGGAAGAACACCUUGGGGUUAAUACCCCCGAGGAAGGACAUCACUCGCAGAAGAAGCGCCGGCUAACUCCGUGCCAGCAGCCGC